AUUGAACGCUGGCGGCAUGCCUUACACAUGCAAGUCGAGCGGCAGCGCGGGGGCAACCCUGGCGGCGAGCGGCGAACGGGUGAGUAAUGCAUCGGAACGUGUCCUUUUGUGGGGGAUAACCAGUCGAAAGACUGGCUAAUACCGCAUGAGCUCGAGAGAGGAAAGCAGGGGACCGCAAGGCCUUGCGCGAGAGGAGCGGCCGAUGCCCGAUUAGCUAGNGGUGAGGUAACGGCUUACCAAGGCGACGAUCGGUAGCUGGUUUGAGAGAACGACCAGCCACACUGGGACUGAGACACGGCCCAGACUCCUACGGGAGGCAGCAGUGGGGAAUUUGGACAAUGGGGGAAACCCUGAUCCAGCCAUG
rnacentral:rRNA from 1 species